CCACUCAGAAGGAGCUAAUCCUCCUCCUGACGAAUCAUCAGAACGCCAGGUCCCAGUGCCUCCCGUCACUCGCUUUACGUCAUCUCAGCACGUAGGCAUUGCAUCAUCUCACGUCAACUCAAGAGGGAAUGCGGCAGAGUCAGCAUGUGUGGAAAAGAUGGGCAAAUUUGCAUAAGGAUCUAGGAGCCUCCCAGGAAGAAAGAAAGGGAAGCCACAGAAGGAAAGAAAGCCCAGUAGGAUGGUCAGGUCAGAUGAAGAUGAUCACAUCAUUAGAAGGUCUGAGGUGAAUUAUUAAAUUUUUUUUUAAAUACUGCAAUCUUUGAAAUUCAGUGAGUUAGGACUCAAAAUGAAGGUGCCUUUUGAUAGAAUUUGAUAAAGAAAUUUUACUAAUCUUUUAGAGUAUUAUGCAAAUGGUAGCUAUUGUUAUUCCAAUUCUGGAUCAUUGUCACCUUCUGUCUGGAUUCAGAGCAGAGAAUAACCUACCCUCUGCUUUUGGAAACCUCUUUCAUUACUCAGGACAAAGGUAGGAAUGGCCAUGCCCCACUCAGAGGAUACCACUUGACCCCUCCUGGGCAGCCUUGGCCCCUUCCUCCCUGGUUUAUGUAUGUCACAAACGUGAAGAAGGCUCUAUCCGUGGAGGUAAGAGAUUAAGGAAGCUCAUCUUUGGAAAAGACAAAGGUAUUUUUUUUCUUUAAUUCAUUCUAUAACUCCCAACUCUUUCUGUCAGCCAGGCUGUCUUCUCUGGCUUCCCAGAUUCAAUAUAGUACUUGUGUACUGAGGAUGAGGCAGAGAAAACAAUUUGCAAUUCUCCCAAUUCCAUGCUUACCAGAGGUAUUCCUUCUGCUCCUCUUCAUCACUUUCAGCCUCUUUUCCAAGGAGGCAUUAUGGAAACUUACAAAUAGGGAGUUGGGCUUCAGGAACUUAGAGCUUUACAAGCAGAUGACGUAUUUUUAAAAUGUCACUUGAUGGAUACGUUCACUCACCUAAAUCUACCUGGUUGCAAUGGCAGCUGCCCACUCAAUUUCCCUUUAAAAACUCACAAAUGCAUGUGGCAAUAAUUGUAGGUCCGCUGGCAGCUGAUAUGUUUUUACAAAGUGAAGGAGUCGCCAUCUAAAAAACCUAUAAACUGUCACAGUCUGUCAUCAUUGCAAAGAUGAGGCCAUUAUUUAAAUUAGACUGUGAAUUAUUUUUUUUCCUCUGUGAUGGCUUUUCAGAUGGUGAUAUGUCAUAAGCAAACCACAAUAAACUGGCCUUAAGCAUUCUCAACCCAUUAGUCCUGCCUAUAAUUUGGUGCUUUCAGGAAAGCAUACAGAUGAUGUAAAAAAGAUUUUGUCAGUGUUUACGCCUGCCAGAAAAAAAAAAAAUCCAAGGAAAUGUUUCUGACAUAACACCUGAAUAUGAGCUGGGCAUUAUGACUGCUGCAGGUAGGAAAAAAUAAAUGAGCCUCAUUUAUUGCUGGCUAUGAUAUCUCCUCGGUGAGAAGUCUCUCUUCAAAUCAGGACAAAAGUAAUCUCUCACAUUUGUUUACUGUUCAGGAGUUCCUAAAGCCUUCAAGAG